rnacentral:rRNA from 1 species
AUUGAACGCUGGCGGCAUGCCUUACACAUGCAAGUCGAACGGCAGCACGGGGCAACCUGGUGGCGAGUGGCGAACGGGGGAGUAAUGCAUCGGAACGUACCUUUCAGUGGGGGAUAACGUAGCGAAAGUUACGCUAAUACCGCAUAUUCUUUGAGCAGGAAAGCAGGGGAUCGCAAGACCUUGCGCUGGUUGAGCGGCCGAUGUCAGAUUAGCUAGUUGGUGGGGUAAAGGCUCACCAAGGCGACGAUCUGUAGCGGGUCUGAGGGGAUGAUCCGCCACACUGGAACUGAGAAACGGUCCAGACUCCUACGGGAGGCAGCAGUGGGGAAUUUUGGACAAUGGGGGAAACCCUGAUCCAGCCAUGCCGCGUGGGUGAAGAAGGCCUUCGGGUUGUAAAGCUCUUUCGGCCGGGAAGAAAUCGCACGGGCUAAUACCCUGUGUGGAUGACGGUACCGGAAUAAGAAGCACCGGCUAACUACGUGCCAGCCGCCGCGGUAAUAC